rnacentral:rRNA from 1 species
GACGAACGCUGGCGGCGUGCUUAACACAUGCAAGUCGAACGGAAAGGCCCUGCUUUUGUGGGGUGCUCGAGUGGCGAACGGGUGAGUAACACGUGAGUAACCUGCCCUUGACUUUGGGAUAACUUCAGGAAACUGGGGCUAAUACCGGAUAGGAGCUCCUGCUGCAUGGUGGGGGUUGGAAAGUUUCGGCGGUUGGGGAUGGACUCGCGGCUUAUCAGCUUGUUGGUGGGGUAGUGGCUUACCAAGGCUUUGACGGGUAGCCGGCCUGAGAGGGUGACCGGCCACAUAGGGACUGAGGUACGGCCCAGACUCCUACGGGAGGCAGCAGUGGGGAAUAUUGCACAAUGGGCGGAAGCCUGAUGCAGCAACGCCGCGUGCGAGAUGACGGCCUUCGGGUUGUAAACCGCUUUCGCCUGUGACGAAGCGUGAGGGACGGUAAUGGGUAAAGAAGCACCGGCUAACUACGU